GCCUCUAUAGGUAUCCACUCUGGAUCAGUCUGGAACAGUCCUCUAGAAUUUAAAUUUUUUUUUCUAAGAAAAUUCAGCCUGUUGAAUCUAAAUGAAGCCUGGAUCGCGAUCAACACUUGAUCUCUUUCUUUGAUCUUCUUCUCCUCUUCUCUAACCUUUCUCCCUUACUAUAUGCUGCUGCUACAAUCUUGAAACCAGCAAGGAAGAGGAUGCCCAAUACCUUGGACAUGGGAGACUUGGGACGUCCCAAAGGUUGGGGCGUGUGAGACACCAAAGGGGAGAAGAGAAAGGGAGAGGAAAAGAGGGCAUGGGGAGACCUUCUAGGCAUGAGGGGCUACUGGUUUGGAUGCUC
rnacentral:lncRNA from 1 species